CCACGAAUUACUAAGCGAUUCCGACUUCACGGAGUCGAGUUGCAGACUCCGAUCCGGACUACGACGCACUUUUUGGGAUUCGCUCACUCUCGCAAGUUGGCCGCCCUCUGUAUGCGCCAUUGUAGCACGUGUGUAGCCCUACUCGUAAGGGCCAUGAUGACUUGACGUCGUCCCCACCUUCCUCCGGUUUAUCACCGGCAGUCUCCCUGGAGUUCCCACCCGAAGUGCUGGCAAACAAGGAUAAGGGUUGCGCUCGUUGCGGGACUUAACCCAACAUUUCACAACACGAGCUGACGACAGCCAUGCAGCACCUGUCUCAGAGUUCCCGAAGGCACCAAUCCAUCUCUGGAAAGUUCUCUGGAUGUCAAGAGUAGGUAAGGUUCUUCGCGUUGCAUCGAAUUAAACCACAUGCUCCACCGCUUGUGCGGGCCCCCGUCAAUUCAUUUGAGUUUUAAUCUUGCGACCGUACUCCCCAGGCGGUCUACUUAACGCGUUAGCUCCGAAAGCCACGGCUCAAGGCCACAACCUCCAAGUAGACAUCGUUUACGGCGUG
rnacentral:rRNA from 1 species